AAUAUUGGACAAUGGGGGCAACCCUGAUCCAGCCAUGCCGCGUGUGUGAAGAAGGUCUUCGGAUUAUAAAGCACUUUAUGUUGGGAAGAAGGGCUUUAGGCUAAUACCCUGAAGUUUUGACGUUAGCAACAUAAUAAGCACCGGAUAACUCUCUGCCAGCAGCCGCGGUAAUACAGCGGGUGCAAGCGUUAAUCGGAAUUACUGGGCGUAAAGCGCGCGUAGGUGGUUCAGUAAGAUGGGUGUGAAAACCCCGGGCUUAAACUGGGAACUGCUUUCAUAACUGCUGAGCUAGAGUACGGUAGAGGGUAGUGGAAUUUCCUGUGUAGCGGUGAAAUGCGUAGAUAUAGGAAGGAACACCAGAGGCGAAGGCGACUACCUGGACUAAUACUGACACUGAGGUGCGAAAGCGUGGGGAGCAAAC
rnacentral:rRNA from 1 species